rnacentral:rRNA from 1 species
UACGUAGGGGGCAAGCGUUAUCCGGAUUUACUGGGUGUAAAGGGAGCGUAGACGGAAUUGCAAGUCUGAUGUGAAAAUCCGGGGCCCAACCCCGGAACUGCAUUGGAAACUGUAUUUCUAGAGUGUCGGAGAGGCAAGUGGAAUUCCUGGUGUAGCGGUGAAAUGCGUAGAUAUCAGGAGGAACACCAGUGGCGAAGGCGGCUUGCUAGACGAUGACUGACGUUGAGGCUCGAAAGCGUGGGGAGCAAACAGG